GUAUGGAGUCUUUUCAGUCUAGUCGUUUUUCCAUUCAUAUAUAUAUAAAAAAACCCCAUACCAGCCUCUUUCUCUCUCUUCUCUCUCUCUCUCUCUGAUUUUAUAUCAUUUCUUUCUUUUUUUCAUCCAAAUUCUCCAUCCAGAAGAGUGCGUAGGCAACGAGUCUUUUGAUUGGAAUCAAACAAGUUUUCUCUCUUUUCUUCCAUUCAUAACGACAACUCCGUUCACUCUCAGAAUUUGAACAAGAACGGCUAAAGAGGCAUGAAAUGGGAAUCACAACUCUGUAACAAAAGCUCCACCCACUCUAGAUUUUCCAAGUACUUUCAGUCACCAGUUGCUUAUUUUGUAUCCAACUCUCCUACAUAAUAUGCUGGCGGUCAGAGCCAUACCAAGGGACUUUAUGGCUAUCAAGGAGGAGGAAAAAGAAGCAGGAAGAAGCAGGAUAUGUUCAACUAGGCAAGUCAACUAAUUAAGUGCAGAUCAUGGGAUUCAUAAAAUAAAGACUUGAAAAAUAAUUGUCGAGAAUCUGAUAUCAUUAUACUUCUCGACUUUUGAAGAGAUCCUUGGCUGACGUGUGGCACGAACGCAUUUGAGUCCUCCGUGCUAUUCUAGAGGUGUGUGAUGACAAUUACAAUGGCUAUGAAACCUGAUUGUUGUCUCAUCCGAGCAGCUGUCAAGGUGGUGUAUUUGGCAUGGCGGUUUAUAGUUGUGUCCUCCUGUUUUUAUUUGUUUUGGGUUUGGUUUUCUCUUUUUCUUUUUUUUUUACUUUGAUUUUAAUGCUUCUUCAAGUUUAUUUUUUUUUUCAAUUUUAUCCCAUUGCAUAUUUAAUUUAAUUUAUUUUUUGUAUGCAAUCUAGUUUUUUUUUUUUAUUACUAUAUUUUUAUCCUUUGCAUUUAUUCUAUUUCUUUUAUUGUCCUUUAGAAUUUUUAUUUUUUUUUUCAAAGUUUGAUCCUCAUUUUUUUCCUUACUUUUUUUUUUAUCCUUUUCUUUAUUUAUUUUUUCAAUUUAAUCCCUAAUUAAUUUCUUUCAAUUAUUUUCUAUAUAAGAUUUAGUCCUCAUUGUUUUUUUUUUAUUUUAUAAUUGAGAAUUUUGCUUUAUAAUUUUUUCAAGUUUGCCUUUUACAGAGUAGUUUCAUUUUCAUGACUCGGUUUACUAGUUUAAAUGAUUUACCUAGUUUGAGCUAGGUAUUUUUUUAAAAUUCUUUUUAGAUUUUUAUUUUUAUUUAUAUCAUUUGACAUUGACUUAUUAGGCCUUGAGCUUUGUGAUUUGUUCAACUUUUUGGGGGGGGGGCUAUCCUCAUCUCAUAUCUCAGGUCGCAAGUUAGUCGAGUUAACAUGGGUUGAAUUGGUUUUAUUUUAAAUUGAUUUUUUAUUCGAUUUUAUCCUUUGCUAUUAAAUUAUUGACCCUUGAGCGUUGUUAUUUUUUUCACCUUCCUUUACACAAGGUUAUCUUGGGUCUGGGAUAGUCAAGAAUUUCAACGUUCUCUCCAUUAAUAAGUGACGCGUCUAGCUUGAUGAAGGUUGGAAUGGCACAUGUAGCCUUUUGUUUUUCUUUCCCUCUCUCUCCUACGAUUUUCUUGAUGGCCUUGAAAAAUUUUUAAAUCAACCCCUAAUGUUUGUUAUACUUAAGAUUUCAUUCGUAUUCUCUUCAUUACAAUUUUAAAAUUUAAAAUAAUGUAUGGAAUUAAGGUUUUUUUUUAAUUUCAUUGCUAUUCUUUUUAUUACAAUUUUUUUAUUAUACGAUACUUUAGGCGUGGGAAAAACAUUGUGUAGAUACUGAGGAUAUAGACUCAUUGCAUUGUGGAUCACACUGUAGACAUAGUGUUUACACUAUGUAUGAUAUUAUAGCACCAUGAGGGUGUUGUCUUUACUGUUUUUAGUUAAAAAAAUUUGCUAAAAGCUGUUGGGUCCUGCUUUCAAUAGCGUUGGACCUUUUUGCCACCAGGACCUAAUAGUGUUGGCCGAGUCUGUUUCAUUCAAAA